rnacentral:rRNA from 1 species
AGAGUUUGAUCCUGGCUCAGAACGAACGCUGGCGGCAUGCCUAACACAUGCAAGUCGAACGAGACCUUCGGGUCUAGUGGCGCACGGGUGCGUAACGCGUGGGAAUCUGCCCUUGGGUUCGGAAUAACAGUGAGAAAUUACUGCUAAUACCGGAUGAUGACGUAAGUCCAAAGAUUUAUCGCCCAAGGAUGAGCCCGCGUAAGAUUAGCUAGUUGGUGGGGUAAAGGCCUACCAAGGCGACGAUCUUUAGCUGGUCUGAGAGGAUGAUCAGCCACAUUGGGACUGAGACACGGCCCAGACUCCUACGGGAGGCAGCAGUGGGGAAUAUUGGACAAUGGGCGAAAGCCUGAUCCAGCAAUGCCGCGUGAGUGAUGAAGGCCUUAGGGUUGUAAA